AGCAGUGGGGAAUAUUGCACAAUGGGCGGAAGCCUGAUGCAGCAACGCCGCGUGAGGGAUGACGGCCUUCGGGUUGUAAACCUCUUUUAGCAGGGAAGAAGCGAAAGUGACGGUACCUGCAGAAAAAGCGCCGGCUAACUACGUGCCAGCAGCCGCGGUAAUACGUAGGGCGCAAGCGUUAUCCGGAAUUAUUGGGCGUAAAGAGCUCGUAGGCGGUUUGUCGCGUCUGCUGUGAAAUCCCGAGGCUCAACCUCGGGCCUGCAGUGGGUACGGGCAGACUAGAGUGCGGUAGGGGAGAUUGGAAUUCCUGGUGUAGCGGUGGAAUGCGCAGAUAUCAGGAGGAACACCGAUGGCGAAGGCAGAUCUCUGGGCCGUAACUGACGCUGAGGAGCGAAAGGGUGGGGAGCAAACAGGCUUAGAUACCCUGGUAGUCCACCCCGUAAACGUUGGGAACUAGUUGUGGGGACCAUUCCACGGUUUCCGUGACGCAGCUAACGCA
rnacentral:rRNA from 1 species